GACUACUGUGUUACUCUGUACAGUAGAGUGUAGGUCAGUGGAGAGGUAGGGUGGACUACUGUGUUACUCUGUACAGUAGAGUGUAGGUCAGUGGAGAGGUAGGGUGGACUACUGUGUUACUCUGUACAGUAGAGUGUAGGUCAGUGGAGAGGUAGAGUGGACUACUGUGUUACUCUACAGUAGAGUGUAGGUCAGUGGAGAGGCAGGGUGGACUACUGUGUUACUCUGUACAGUAGAGUGUAGGUCAGUGGAGAGGUAGGGUGGACUAGUGUGUUACUCUGUACAGUAGAGUGUAGGUCAGUGGAGAGGUAGGGUGGACUAGUGUGUUACUCUGUACAGUAGAGUGUAGGUCGGUGGAGAGGCAGGGUGUACUAUUGUGUUACUCUGUACAGUAGAGUGUAGGUCAGUGGAGAGGUAGGGUGGACUAGUGUGUUACUCUGUACAGUAGAGUGUAGGUCAGUGGAGAGGCAGGGUGGACUAGUGUGUUACUCUGUACAGUGGAGAGGUAGGGUGGACUAGUGUGUUACUCUGUAUAGUGGAGAGGUAGGGUGGACUAGUGUGUUACUCUGUACAGUAGAGUGUAGGUCAGUGGAGAGGCAGGGUGGACUAGUGUGUUACUCUGUACAGUAGAGUGUAGGUCAGUGGAGAGGCAGGGUGGACUAGUGUGUUACUCUGUACAGUAGAGUGUAGGUCAGUGGAGAGGCAGGGUGGACUAGUGUGUUACUCUGUACAGUAGAGUGUAGGUCAGUGGAGAGGCAGGGUGGACUAGUGUGUUACUCUGUACAGUAGAGUGUAGGUCAGUGGAGAGGUAGGGUGGACUAGUGUGUUACUCUGUACAGUAGAGUGUAGGUCAGUGGAGAGGCAGGGUGGACUACUGUGUUACUCUGUACAGUAGAGUGUAGGUCAGUGGAGAGGCAGGGUGUACUAGUGUGUUACUCUGUACAGUAGAGUGUAGGUCGGUGGAGAGGCAGGGUGGACUAGUGUGUUACUCUGUACAGUAGAGUGUAGGUCAGUGGAGAGGCAGGGUGGACUAGUGUGUUACUCUGUAUAGUAGAGUGUAGGUCAGUGGAGAGGCAGGGUGUACUAGUGUGUUACUCUGUACAGUAGAGUGUAGGUCAGUGGAGAGGCAGGGUGGACUAGUGUGUUACUCUGUACAGUAGAGUGUAGGUCAGUGGAGAGGCAGGGUGGACUAGUGUGUUACUCUGUACAGUAGAGUGUAGGUCAGUGGAGAGGCAGGGUGGACUAGUGUGUUACUCUGUACAGUGGAGAGGCAGGGUGGACUAGUGUGUUACUCUGUACAGUAGAGUGUAGGUCAGUGGAGAGGCAGGGUGGACUAGUGUGUUACUCUGUACAGUAGAGUGUAGGUCAGUGGAGAGGUAGGGUGGACUACUGUGUUACUCUACAGUAGAGUGUAGGUCAGUGGAGAGGCAGGGUGGACUAGUGUGUUACUCUGUACAGUAGAGUGUAGGUCAGUGGAGAGGCAGGGUGGACUAGUGUGUUACUCUGUACAGUAGAGUGUAGGUCAGUGGAGAGGCAGGGUGGACUAGUGUGUUACUCUGUACAGUAGAGUGUAGGUCAGUGGAGAGGCAGGGUGUACUAGUGUGUUACUCUGUACAGUAGAGUGUAGGUCGGUGGAGAGGCAGGGUGGACUAGUGUGUUACUCUGUACAGUAGAGUGUAGGUCAGUGGAGAGGCAGGGUGGACUACUGUGUUACUCUGUACAGUAGAGUGUAGGUCAGUGGAGAGGCAGGGUGGACUAGUGUGUUACUCUGUACAGUAGAGUGUAGGUCAGUGGAGAGGCAGGGUGGACUACUGUGUUACUCUGUACAGUAGAGUGUAGGUCAGUGGAGAGGCAGGGUGGACUACUGUGUUACUCUGUACAGUAGAGUGUAGGUCAGUGGAGAGGCAGGGUGCAGCACACUUCAUACUGGUUUAUGGUGUAAUAAAGGUCCUUGCACAAAGCACCGCUCCACAACACUUUAUCUAAUCAUCUACACAAUAUGCAGUAAGGGGUCAAUAGUCUGACUGCUGUGGGUGGAUGUGUGUGUGUGGGUGGGUGUGUACUGAAAUUCUGUUUUUGUGUGAAUAUUGGUGUGUCUGCAUGUUGGUUAUGUACUGUAGUCAGGAGGUUGAGACGUGUGGUUAUGUACUGUAGUCAGGAGGUUGAG